rnacentral:lncRNA from 1 species
GCCUUUGACUUUGCUCAAGUUAGGGCGAGGUUUUCCUCCUGUCCCUAACAGGGCUGUGGGGGCACAUUAGGGCAUUGUAAGGCCUCUCCUCCCAUCUGAUCUAAAAGAACCGGGCCUUUGACUUUGCUCAUGUUAGGGCGAGGUUUUCCUCCUGUCCCAAACAAGGCUGUGGGGGCACAUUAGGGCAUUGUAAGGCCUCUCCCCCCAUCCGGUCUAAAAGAAUCGGGCCUUUGACUUUGCUCACGUCAGGAUGAGGUUCUCCUCCUGUUCCUGACAUGGCUGUGUUCUUGGAGGGAUCAUAUCCAGUCAUAAUACAUCCACGCUAGGUGGGAGGAGCAUGUUAGCUAAAA